CCUACGGGUGGCAGCAGUGAGGAAUAUUGGUCAAUGGGCGUUAGCCUGAACCAGCCAAGUCGCGUGAAGGAUGAAUGUCCUAUGGGUCGUAAACCUCUUUUAUAUGGGAAUAAAGUGCGGGACGUAUCCCGCUUUGUAUGUACCUUAUGAAUAAGGAUCGGCUAACUCCGUGCCAGCAGCCGCGGUAAUACGGAGGAUCCGAGCGUUAUCCGGAUUUAUUGGGUUUAAAGGGUGCGUAGGCGGGCUUUUAAGUCAGCUGUGAAAGUUUGUGGCUCAACCGUAGAAUUGCCGUUGAAACUGGGAGGCUUGAGUAUGUUUGAGGCAGGCGGAAUGCGUGGUGUAGCGGUGAAAUGCUUAGAUAUCACGCAGAACCCCGAUUGCGAAGGCAGCCUGCCAAGCCAUGACUGACGCUGAUGCACGAAAGCGUGGGGAUCAAACAGGAUUAGAUACCCGGGUAGUC
rnacentral:rRNA from 1 species